CAAGACUUUCCACACUUCGAUUGGUAUAUCAUCUGGGCCCACUGCUUUUCUAUGCUUCAUCUUCUUCAAAGCUAUAACCACUUCUUAUUUCCUGAUUCGACGAUAAAAGGAGUAGUUUCUACACUUUUAUGAGUUACUCAACUCCCCUAAAGAAGUACUCAUUUCAUGUCCUUCAUUGAAAAGAUUAUGAAAAUAACCUCUCCAUCUGUCUUUGACCGCGUUCUCUGUAGCAAGAACCUUUCCAUCCCCAUCCUUGAUGCACCUCACUUGGUUUAGGUCCCUUGUCUUCUUUUCCCUUGCUCUAGCUAGUUUAUAGAUAUCCAACUCUCCUUCUUUGGUAUUUAGUCGCUUAUACAUAUCGUCAUAAGCCACUAACUUAGCUU
rnacentral:lncRNA from 1 species